UGGGGAAUUUUGGACAAUGGGGGAAACCCUGAUCCAGCCAUCCCGCGUGUGCGAUGAAGGCCUUCGGGUUGUAAAGCACUUUUGGCAGGAAAGAAACGUCAUGGGUUAAUACCCCGUGAAACUGACGGUACCUGCAGAAUAAGCACCGGCUAACUACGUGCCAGCAGCCGCGGUAAUACGUAGGGUGCAAGCGUUAAUCGGAAUUACUGGGCGUAAAGCGUGCGCAGGCGGUUCGGAAAGAAAGAUGUGAAAUCCCAGAGCUCAACUUUGGAACUGCAUUUUUAACUACCGGGCUAGAGUGUGUCAGAGGGAGGUGGAAUUCCGCGUGUAGCAGUGAAAUGCGUAGAUAUGCGGAGGAACACCGAUGGCGAAGGCAGCCUCCUGGGAUAACACUGACGCUCAUGCACGAAAGCGUGGGGAGCUAACAGG
rnacentral:rRNA from 1 species